rnacentral:lncRNA from 1 species
CCCACCCCGCCCCCCUUCCCAACUUCUCAGCCUCACUGGCACUCCUUCUGCCCAAUCCCGCUUCAAAAUCCCUCCUCGCCCCGCCCCCGUUCAGUCCAGAGCGUCGGCUCAUUGGCCAAACCCUGAGCACCAUGGGGCGUGCCCUCGCCUCCUCCCUCCCUCACCCCAACCCCACCCUCCCUAUCUCCUCGGUGCUCCUCUUACGGAGUCCGAUUGGCAGGUGGGACCUGACCAAUGGCGGGAGGGGGCAGGGCAGGGGUGGAGUGAGGAGCGCUAGCCCAAGGGGUUGUGAGGUUUCGGGGCGGGGAAUGGCUACGAAGUCUAGAGCGGAGUGACGCUCGCCAGGCGGGCGCGCGGGUGCGCGCCUCCCGUGGACGGAGGGAGAGGAGGGGCGGGGAGGGGCGGGGAGGGAAAGGGGCGGGGCGGCUAUAAAACGAGAGGCGGGGCGCGCGCCGCAGCAGAAGGAGCGGAGCUCUGGCCCGGGGCGGAGCGGGCAGACAUCGGGGAGAAAGCUGGGCCGGGGCAUCCGAGUGUGUACUGGGGGGAAAGAGACCGCACUUCACCGGACUCCCCCCCGCCCCUGCCGCCGCCUCCCCCGACCUCGAAGGAGUCGCGACACGUUUCCGUGGUCCAGCCCCGGGUUCGUUGUUUCUUGCACUCAGCCGGGCCCCUCACUCCCCACCCCGCGCCAUCCUCCAUCCCGCCCCCGCCCUGCGGCCCGGUCUGUUGUGGAAGCAGCUCCGGAGCAGCCAGAACAAGACUGCUCAAGAUGAAGAAACUGAGAGGAGCUAAAGGGACAAGUUCAAGGUUGCACAGUGAGUGCAGAGCAAGAAAUGGAAGGGAAGAAAAGAGAUGGAAAUGUAUCUAGGUAUUCUUGUGCCUGAGGAUUGGCAUAGGAGCUAUUCCUUAUGCCUUUAGCCAGUAAUUCCAAAGGCCCCAUGGGACUUAAGCCUAUGAAGAAGUCCCCAGUGACCCCAGAUUCUUCAUGGCCUCAGAUGGAUAAAGGAUACCCUCUGGUAAGUAGGGUGGAGUUAAAGCUCUUGCUAUUACUGUAAGCAAGUCAGCUUGUGGUUUCCCCAGUGAGCUUGGAACUCCAUCCUUUAAUACCCAGUUUUCUUCCUGCCAGGUUCAAAGGAUGAAGCAAGAACGAAAUUAUUGACUGUGGUCUUCUUUUGUGGUGAACUAAACAAUUAUUGAUUAUCCCUGAUCUUUGAGAUUACCUUUAUUUUUCUUCCUUAUUUCCCUUUGGGGAACAGAAAGGGUAACAGGCCUGGCCAGUGGGGUUUUGAAUGCUCUGAACCCUGACAUAGUUGGAGAAGGCCAAGAAAUGUCCUUCUGAUCCUUAUCAAGGUAUUGUUUCAUAUCAUCAUUACCCACAUCGUUUCCAUUCAUCUGUGCUGCCACAUUUGAUCAUGGUACUUGUGAAACUACCUUUUUUUAUUUCAGAUUGUGGACAGACUUAGACCAACCCUUGCUCUCAUCCCAUAACCCACUUCCAGGGGGGGAAAAACUUUAUAUGUUGUCUUAUUUUAUUGUUUGUGGCAUUUUAGGAUAAAUGUUCCUUCUCUUCCCUCCUUAGUCCACGUAUCUUUUAUUUAAAUAUUCCUCACCCCCGAGCAAAGCAUCUAUUAAAAAUAAUUUUGAAAAAAUACAGCUCAUGUUUGUAAAGUAUUCUAAAGUUUAACAAUACAGCAUUUCCUCUAAGUUCACUCACUCACUGUGCUGUCACCUUUGGUUCUAGAAGUAGUCCUUUGAUUGAUUUUCCUACUUUUCAAAUGCUGUAGCCCAAGUAGACUCAGUUCCUAACAAAGGCAAUUUACUCAAAUGGAGAGCAAGAACAGUAGUUACAAAGCAUUUCCCCUCAAAGU